rnacentral:lncRNA from 1 species
AUGCAACUGAAUCCUCUAAGAGUGAUGACCAAACAGAUGAAAGCCUGUCGCUAUGAAUCGUGAGGCAUACGUUCAGGACUUGCCCUGGACUGAUAUGGGCAGCCCCUUCCUAUGGUUCUGCUGUGGCUGGGUGGACAGGAGGAACUAAGACUACUUCUAUCAAAAAAUGUUUGACCUUGCUUAUAUGGGCCUGGAUAAAAAUGGCAGUGUAAGGAACAGUACAUUCAGUUGCUCAGCGAAGCCCAUAGAAUCCUGCUUACUGCAUGGAAAUACAACAACAGUAAAAUCAGAGAAUUAGGAGAUGUCUCAGAAAACAUGUCUGGACUCCAUUUCACUUAUUCUCUGAGGAGAAGCAUAAUCACUAUACACAGAAUUACGGGUCUCUCAGAAGGCUGCUUCUCUACCGUUCCUAACAUCAAAAUGGAUACUGGGUUUAAUGAAAGCAGAUUCUAUCAUGGUUGCUGCUUUGUGUGUUCUGGUACAUGAACAGUUUGAAUUCCUUCUGUCUAUCGGAUCUCUAUGGAGCCCAAGACAAACUGGUGAUUCUGAGAAUGCUCAUGGACAGCUGAAUGAAAUGAGAUCAAGACUGGUGUGUGAUGCCAAUUUUCAAAAUUUUAUUAACAGUAGAGAAAUGUUUCUUGGAGAAGAGUUGGGUUUUGCCACCUGUGUUCUUAGUCCUGAAGAUAGUUUUCUGGAGGAAGCAGUGAGAAAAUCCUUGGAGCUCCAUAUAAACAAGCUUGUUUUAAUGGCAGUAUGUGGAAAUUCUCAUUUGGUCUCCAGAAAAAAAUUCUUUCUUCUGUAA